CGACUUUUUGUUUGUCUACAGAUCCGUGAUUUUAUUGUUGCGGAUUUCAAAUGCAAUCACCAGAAGCAAAGAGCAUGUCAAAACGUUCACUCGAAGGAUUAUACUUUUGAUAAAAAGGCCGAAUGUGACCAAGAUUCUUGAAAGGAAAAAUAUGUUUUUUCUUGAGGUCUCCAGUAAAUAAGCAAAAUGGCUUGGAACUUGCUAUGAAAAAUCAACGGACUGGAAAAUUCGAGUAAAAAUACAUUGAAGUGCAUUGGUUUUCCGUUUAAAGAAACUGUAAUUUUCAAUCCACAUGUAAAAUUAUAAUAAAAUGCGUUGAAGAAAGCACGACAA